GCACUGCUGACGAGUCCCAAGUAGGACGAAACAGUUGUCCAGUGC
rnacentral:hammerhead_ribozyme from 1 species